rnacentral:hammerhead_ribozyme from 1 species
GCACUGCUGAAGGGGUCCCAUAAUAGGACGAAACGGCCGUCCAGUGC